rnacentral:rRNA from 1 species
GACGAACGCUGGCGGCGUGCUUAACACAUGCAAGUCGAACGGAAAGGCCCUGCUUUUGUGGGGUGCUCGAGUGGCGAACGGGUGAGUAACACGUGAGUAACCUGCCCUUGACUUUGGGAUAACUUCAGGAAACUGGGGCUAAUACCGGAUAGGAGCUCCUGCUGCAUGGUGGGGGUUGGAAAGGUUCGGCGGUUGGGGACGGAGUCGCGGUUUAUCAGCUUGUUGGUGGGGUAGUGGCUUACCAAGGCUUCGACGGGUAGCCGGCCUGAGAGGGUGACAGGCCACAGUGGGCCUGGGAUACGGCCAAGACGCCAACGGGAGGCAGGGGUGGGGAAUAUUGGGCAAUGGGCGGAAGCCUGAUGGAGCAACGCCGCGUGGGGGAAGACGGCUUUCGGGUUGUAAACCGCUUUCGCCUGUGACGAAGCGUGAGUGACGGUACUGGGUAAAGAAGCACGGGCUAACUACGG